CAGGUCAUCCACUUGCUUUGGCAGUUGAUGGAGCACAAGUGUUCCCACAGAGAGCACCCCGUUAGUGAUCCAUGGCAUGGACCUCAACUCCAAAGCUUUGAGAUACUGGAGCACAGCCCACGGGUUGGGAGGGAAUAGUUGCAGCUUGGCUUCUCCUCUCUGACCACCAGCCAGCUCCCUAUCUCAGGAUGGAUCCAACAGGAGCACAGGAACUCGCAUCCAAGAAGCCCCGGUGCUCUGCCAGGGCCACACAGAUGCCUUAUCCAGCCUGGGAAUGGGAGUACUGCCAUGAAACUUGACAGAGUAAUCACUAAUACCAACAAAUAGCUGAAAUAGGUGGUUUCUGAACAGCUGAGCUAGAAAAUGAUGUUCCUGUGGACCAUCCAGCUGCGAGACAGGGACAGAAGUGAAAACAAUUGAUUUAAGAAGUUAAUUGUGAGCGGAGGAGGAGGCCAGUGUCAGUGGUGCAGGGAAGACACAAGAAACAAACAAACCCUACAGGAAAGUCGAACUUAAACAUCCACAGAAGACAUGCAAAUGCAGACGUUUGCUCAAUGAGGGGGCCUCUGGAUUGUUCCUAAUGAGCUCUAAUGCGAAGAGGAAAUUAAAGAGCUCUGUUUUGGGCUCUGUCUGUGCUGUGCUGUGUGCUGAUGGGAGGAGGACUGCACCAAAGAGGAGCGUUCCUGCUCCCAGCCUGACAAAUGGGACUCAUCGGGGUUUUAGUUUGUCAGAGUAUUCUUGUUUGUUAGGCAAAGCAAACUGAUCCAACCCAACUCAAACGUGAAGCAGAGGAGGAGCCUGGAUUUACUUCUUGAGUGAGUGGUUUUAAAAGGUUUUGCUUUCUGAAAGGGGCUUCCAAGGUGGCCCCAUCUGAGACCAUUUCUUCUUUUGAAAUAGAAACGUCCGGUUUGCUAGGCCAUAAUACUUUUUGGUUUGAAUUGUAAGCGAAGUAUAGCAUGAACGGGGCUUCUUUGCCGAAGGUUUGGGAGAAUUGAAACCAAAUGUUUAAACACUGUAUGUCCCAGCCCCUUGGCUUGCCUGAGCUCCAACGGCUGUUGUUCUUUUCUUCUCUAACCGAUAUUGAAACUCUGAUGUUUAUCCCCGUAUGACUUGGGAAUUGUUUACAACUUUUAGGCAUUUUUCAGGAACUCCAAACCUGUUCCUCGUGUAUAUUUGUGCUGGCAGCUGCUGUCUAAAGGACAGCUUCAGCUCCUCAAAAAGCAGAAGCAUAUGAUAAUUUUCUCUUUAGGAAAGCUGGUAAAAUACGGAGUGUCAA